rnacentral:lncRNA from 1 species
GCCCAUUGGAGAGAUCGAAAAGGCCCUUUGAUUAAUUUUGAUAGAGCAAAAUUUAUUUGUAGUCCAUCAGCUCAAACAUAUAGCACCUGGUAAUUCAAAAAUUGCAAUAUGUAUAUUAUAGCCCAGAAAUAAUUUUAGUGGCUAGUCCAAGAGCAUUUAAUUUAGAGGCUCAUAUCUCCAAAGACAGCAGCGGAAAGAGAGACGGCCACGCCAUGGCUGCAACGACAAACCUCACCGCCAAUCCUCGUAGAUGCUCUGUUUAAUCACCACCAUCAUCGACCAUCAAUUAUAGUUUCCAAAUUCCGAAGCUCCCCCAUUAACAAGCAAUCCCCACUGAGAGAGAAGGAUUAGAAGUUCCACUCGAUGAGUCCAUUUUUCCAUUGGGAUAACUAGGCAGCAUAGCUCGAGAAUUGCAGAUCGUCUGCUGAAUAUAACUGAAUUUGAUGAAAAUAGACUGCUUUCUUACUUUUUAGUGUAUAUUUCAUGUUCAAAAUUUCUAGCAGAUGAAUUAUGUGCCGCAUACAAGAAAUAGGGGGUGAGAAUGAUGAAAAGGGUGUCAGCUCUGGUAGAUUUAGUUCCCAAUCUCGCUGAGGUAAAAGAAAAAAAGAAAAAAAAAUGUGAAGAGAGACUGAAUGGGAAAAGGAAUAUGGAUGAUGAUGGCUAAAGGCUAAUUGUGAUUUUU